rnacentral:tRNA from 1 species
GGUUCUAUAGUGUAGUGGUUAGCACGUCUGCUUUACACGCAGAAGAUUCUGAGUUCGCACCCCAGUGGAGCCG